CCCGUACCGUGCGCCAGGCGGCCGGCCCGAGGCUCGACGAGCGCGGCGCGCUGGCUGUGCCUUCCCAGAGUUCUGCCUCCCGAGGGCGCGGGCGGGUGUGUGUGAGAGAAGAGGAGGGAAGCGGCGGGCGUGAACUUGUCGCAGCUGAAGAGCUGUCAUUUCAUCACCGGGAUUCAGAUGAAUUGAUCCAGUCCUCAGCGGAGGGGGCAUAGCUCGGCUCCUGAAACGCUGCGUGUCCCUCUGGCUGGAACAAUACUAGUUUUUCUCAGCGAGGCUGCAAUUAACAUCUUAUUUGUUCUGGCUAGAUACAGGCUUUGUCAGGACCGCGGUGCGGCGACUGAGGCCACUGAGCCAGCCUCAUGAUGAUCCUGCUGAGGUAUAUUUAUAGCAGAUGAUUUGUGGAUGAUAAAUAUACCAAGCAAGACACCAUCUCCAGUAACCCCAGGCUGGUCUGACUUCCUCAGGGGGGUCAUAAUCAAGAAUCACGAAAAGAAUCAUAUAUGGAGAAUCUGGUCUCUGGAGCCUGACAACAGCACAAUCCAAAGGCAAAGCAGGGAAGAACCACCCUGAUUCAUGUCUGCACUACGUUCCAUGUGAAAGCACAGCUGACAUAUUGACCCAACAAUAAAAAGAGCAGCAGUUUACACA